AGGAUGAACGCUAGCGACAGGCCUAACACAUGCAAGUCGAGGGGCAGCACGGUGUAGCAAUACAUGGGUGGCGACCGGCGCACGGGUGAGUAACGCGUAUGCAACCUGCCUACUACAAGGGGAUAACCCGUUGAAAGACGGACUAAUACCCUAUAACACAGGGAAUCCGCAUGGAUAUAUUUGUUAAAGAUUUAUCGGUAGUAGAUGGGCAUGCGUUCCAUUAGCUUGUUGGUGAGGUAACGGCUCACCAAGGCAACGAUGGAUAGGGGAACUGAGAGGUUGGUCCCCCACACUGGUACUGAGACACGGACCAGACUCCUACGGGAGGCAGCAGUGAGGAAUAUUGGUCAAUGGGCGGGAGCCUGAACCAGCCAAGUCGCGUGAAGGAAGAAGGAUCUAUGGUUCGUAAACUUCUUUUGCAGGGGAAUAAAGUGCAGGACGUGUCCUGUUUUGUAUGUACCCUGAGAAUAAGGAUCGGCUAACUCCGUG
rnacentral:rRNA from 1 species